rfam:Salmo salar isolate Sally breed double haploid chromosome ssa06, whole genome shotgun sequence.
UGGCUCGCUUGGUAGAGCAUGGCACUUGCAAUGCCAGGGUUGUGGGUUUGAUUCCCAU